CUCAGACUUUUUGCUGAGAAAUACAACACUGCAGGAGUUCCACAUGGACAGUGGGAUCAAGUGCACUCUCAGCAAGUUUGCAGAUGACACCAAGGUGAAUGGUGCAGUUGACAUGCUAGAAGGAAAGGAUGUUAUCCAGAGGGACCUGGACAGGCUUGAGAGGUGGGCCCAUACCAAUCUCAUUAAAUUCAGCAGGGCCAAGUGCAAGAUCCUGCACCUGAAUGGGGGGCAAUCCCAAGCACAAAUACAGAUUGUGUGGAGAAUGGUUUGAGAGUAGCCCUGAUGAAAAGGGCUUGGGAGUGUUGGCUGAUGAAAGACUCAACAUGAGCUGGCAAUGUGCUCUUGUGGGGUUGCAUCAAGAGAAGUGUGGCCAGUAGGUCAAAGGAGGUGAUUCUGCCCCUCUGCUCUCAUGAGACCUUAACUGGAGCACUGCAUCCUAUUAUGAGGCCCCCAGCAUGAGAAGGACAUGGAGUUCUUGCAGUAGGUCCAGAAGAGGGCCAAGAAGAUGAUCAGAAGGAUAGAGCACCUCCCCUAUGAGGACAGGGAUUUACAAGUAGCAACAGUGCAGAACUGCUGUGCCAAGGUGUGGGGCCAAGGAUCUAGCAGAGAUCCACCUCUGCCUCUUCUCACCAAGUUCCUCUGCAAGUUCAGGCCUAACCACGUGGGGAAGCACCUGUGAUCCUCUUGGGCGAAUUUGUCUGCGAUCAACAUACCACAACACCAAUCAGUCCUGUGGCACAAAUGGAAGUAAAUUAUUACCUUGCUCACCGUACAGAAAGUAAGGAACUGAACUUCAUGACUGGUUACGAUUUCUGCAAGACUGAACACACGCUUUGCUGUACGGCCAGAUGAAAACAGUUGCACAGCCGAGCCUCCCUCCGCUCCAACAGUUGUUGUUUCAAAUACAAUCAUUUUCUCAAAACAUCUCCCAGACCAGAGCUGGAAACCUGAACAACUUAGAGUGCAAGGAGGGUCUCUCUGUGGUAUUAUGUACAUAACUGCCUUUUCACUUGGCUGGUAACUUGAUGCUUUAGGCUUCUAAGUCCAACCUCAGUGGCUGAAAGUACAGUAAUCUCCAUUGCACUUGACACAGCAUGGCAGAAGGGCCUCCAGUUCUGCUGCAGUCUUCAGAAAGGCUUCUGUUGUUGUGAGGGCUUCUGAAGCUCCCUUGGAGAACCCCAUGGUCACUUUUGGUCACGUCACGUACAUAAAAAAAA
rnacentral:lncRNA from 1 species